GUGUUGAUUACGUCCCUGCUCUUUGUACACACCGCCCGUCGCUCCUACCGAUCGAGUGUUUAGGUGAAUUUGAUGGGCGCAAGGAAGUCAAAUAAACCUGAGCACUUAGAGGAAGGAGGAGUCGUAACAAGGUUUCCGUAGGUG
rnacentral:rRNA from 1 species